UCCAGAGGAAAAACAAAACAACAAGUUAAUAAAGCACUUUAAGUUUGAUAGCCCAGAAGAAAGCCUUUUAACCAUGUUAGCUCUGGGUCCUUACAGCAUCCCUAUGAUACAGGCACUCUCUGUAUUCUGAUGACCCUCACGAGGAGAGUGAGCGAUUCCCAUAAAGUAACCCUCCUGGCAGAGCUUACCAGGAGACAGAUGAACUUCUGCUUAGUCUCUUUUGAUUACAUUUCCAAUUAUUUGGAUGGCAUUGAUCUGUGUUAAUAGCUAAAUGCCAAACUGAUCGGGCUCCACAUAGGGAAGAUCUGGGAAUGCUGUCUAGCAGAUGUGCUUCGUGGUGGGAACUGGGCAAAAUUUGAACUCUGGAAUCAAUGUGGAUUGUUUCCUGUUCCCUGAGGUUCCUGAUCCGUUAGGUUUGUGGACCAAAGAAGCCACCAAGAUUCCGGCUAUUUGCAGGAAGGUACUGGGAACAAGACACAAGACAAAGAAUGGCUAAUGGAGUUCUCAUGGCUAUAGAGAUCAAUACAAUCUGAGGCUGUAACACACUGAACAUGUUUGAAUACGGCUCCCUUCACGACAGGACCUUCUCUUUGUAGUCAUAACGUGGGGAUGUUAGCAGUGUCCGAGGCAAAAUGUGAACCUAGUUAGUCUGAUGGCAAAUUCACUUCUCUUUUUAGAACAAUUAAACUGGGAACUUAACAAUCAUCAGUAAAGACAGACAUCACCACACACAAAGAACAAGGAAAAAGGAUUUUCUGAGAAACGACGAACCUCAAGAAAAAUCUAGAAAGUGUAUUUUAAAAAUGCACAUUGAAUACUGGGAGAGACAGCCCAGUCAGGAAGCCUUGGUUUCAAAGGCCACUAUGACACAAUCACUGAUUGUGUGGAACUGACCUGACCUCUAUACUCCGGGCAACAAAGACUACCAGCUGCAGAAGAGAUGAUGGCCUGUGUGGGUACCCCUGAAAUCGGCGAGGAAAUGGAUCUCAGCCGCAGAGAAGGGAAGCGGCACUGGCAUGCUCAGAGGGUAAUUCAGUUUGCCUGGAUGGAUUCAGCCUCUGGCGGCUGGCGCAUGGAUUUGUGCUGCACAAAGGAGGGCUGCCCCUCCCUCCCCUCCAAGGCUGCAGAUGCCAGAGGUGGGGAUUUGGUCUUUUCUAGGGCAAACUAGAAAUGGCUUCCCGGGUGUCCCCGGCCUGA